AUUUAAAUUAAAAGUAUUUUGGAUAGGAAAAGCAAAAUAUUAAUUAUACAAUUAUUUUAGCACAACCAAGCAGUGCUUGGUUUGCAUUUAUAUUUUUUCUCAUUUUAGAUUCUUGUUGAAAACAAAAUAUCAGAAGGUUAAAGGCAAAAAUUACCUUAAGUUACUUUUUAAAACAGCUCUUGAGCCAAAAUGCUGUAUCUUUUUCUAAUUCUUUUUGUCUUUUCCAUCUGCUUAUUGUCAACCUCAAGAAUCAAGAUAAUAGGGGCGCCUGGGUGGCUCAGUCAUUUUGGCAUCCAGCUCCUGAUCUCAGCUCAGGUCUUGGUCUCAGGGUUGUGGGUUCAAGGUAUAUGUCGCUUGGGCAUAGCCUCCCCCACUCAGUGGACACAGAAAGUGUAGCUGGUGCCAGUAUUUAUUAUGGGACAAGCAUCAGAAAUUUUGUGGUUUAAUUUUCAAGGUUUUAAAUUCCCUUUUUUAAUUUAAAACCUGGAAGCUUAAAAAGACCCUUAAAUAAUAUUUUCCCUGCUUCCCACAGAAAUGAAGCUUUUAGAGUUGUUUUUAUAAGAAAUUUUGAUGUAAUUAAUAUGAUACUUUUUAUUUCAAAUACAUAAUCAAAAGUUGUGUAAGAUGCAGGAUGCUGGGGGGAAGGGUACAUGGGAAUUCCCUCUCUAUUUCUUUGUUUACCUUCCUGUGAAGCUACAUAAUUAUUUCAAACUAAAAUGUUUUUAAGAGAAUUACAUUUUAUUGUAUUCAUGUGGCUAUAUAAUAAUAAUUAUACAUAAGUUUUUAAAAAAAAGAUUGUACUGCGAAAAUACAAUACAGUCUAUCACUAAUAAACUAUUUUAAAAUUCAGGAGAUACUCAGUGAUUGUUUAUUGAGUGUUAGUACACUAGACCAUAUUUACACUACCUUCUAAGGCCUAUAAAAGAGAAUUUAUUGGAUUACUUGUUCAUCUAGUCUAUCUGUAGCAUUUUAUAGACAGGAAAUUGAAGCUGAAUGUCUAGUUUAGGAUCUGUGAAGAAUGGGGGUUUGCUAAGCUCUAGUCCAUUAUUUCCAUACUUGGUAAUAUUUGCUGUUGAAUUAUUGUGUCUCUAAAAUAAAAUUCAUUAUUCUCACCAAGUCCAGCUUCUUCUUUAUUACAUAUUUGUGCUCUUCUCAUCACUAAGUUUCAAAAAACCUUAGGUUUGUUUUGCCUUUCCUUCAGUUAGGGAUCUUGUAUUUUACUUCUUUCUGUUUCCUAUUACCUUGCCAAGAGUUGGCUCGCUCCCUAAAUGUUUGAACUAAAAAGAAUAAUUUUAAAAUAUUUUAUUAAUAACUGACCAGUGAAGAUUGAUAGACUGUUGGUCUAGCUACUUUAAUAAGAAGAAUAAAAUUAAAAAAAAAAAUUUUGUUUCAUUAGCCUAAGUAUUUUUUUAAAGGAGUUAUAAACAUUCCACAGUCAAAUGUAAUUGAAGAUGUUUUAUUUAAAAAUUACUUUUUACUAUACAUAGCACUGAUAAAAACCAGUACCUAGAUCUUGAUGAGUAGAAUUGGAAUUGAAGCUAAAUGCUACAGGGGAGAGACUCUUAAGAUACCUUAAAAAUUGCUUGUUAACGACUUAGAUCUUAGCAAUAAGUUUUUACCUGCAUUGUGUUUGUCCUUAGAUUUGGAAAAUACCCGUCACAACGUACAGGUUAACAUAAUGACUAACUGAUUUUCUCACUAGUGCCUCACAUGAUCCUGGGUACAGUAAAAAUGGAAAGAUAAUAAUAUCUUUAAAGGGAAAAUUGAGCUAAGUGUAAAUACAGUUUUUAAAAACUUGAUUAGUGAAAUGACCAUGACUGGAAUAAUCAGGAGAUUGCCUUUCUUAUCAGGAAGUUCCAUCCGUAAAAUUUUUUUAUUAACUAUAUGUCUAUAAGUGUAGGCUAAUACUAGAAGUAGAUUUCUUGCUUCUAGCAUAAUAUCAUAGGAUAAGAAUAGUAAUCCAAGAGAAAGCACAUUUUCGAUCAUCACUUAUAAGCAUUAACUGUGUGGAAAGUGUUUUACUAGAGGCUCAGGUUGCAAAGGUAAAGUAUAAAUUUUACCCCUACUCUUAAGGAAAGUAUAAGCAGUUGGGAAUUCAGAACUCUAGAUCAGAGCUGUCCAAUAAGAAGUACACAGAGUCACGUGUGCUUUUAAAUUUUCUAGUGUCUAUAUUAAAAAGGUUUUAAAAAGUGAAAUUAGUUAUGUAUUUUAUUUAACUGAGUAUGUCCAGAGUAUUAUCAUUUUAACAUAUAAUCAGUAUAAAAAUAUGAAUGAGAUAUUUCAUGUCUUUUUCUCCACCCUAAAAAUAUUUAAACUCUGGUGUGUAUUUUAUACUUUCAGCACCUCUUAAUUCAAACUAGCCACAUUUCAAGUGCUCAAUAUGUCUAGUGGCUACUAUAUUGGAUAAAGAAACUCUAGAUAACAAAGUGGUGGAACCUCAGAGAAGAAGAAAACGGUAAAGCCUAGGCUAUAGGCUAGUUAUAAAAGUUGUAAAAGUGAGAUCUAAGAAUCUUUCUUUCUGAAUAAGAAAGAUAAAGAUAUAGCUAUGAGGUAGAUACUGUUAUUCUUAAUUUAUAGGUAAGGAAACUGAAGUCACAGUGCAGAAAAGUGGCAGAGGCAGAACUUACUAAUGUGUUCAUUUUAGGCCUUUUUCUAUACUAUAGCUCCUUCACUAAUACUACAAAGAAUGAUUUGUAUAACUGUUUUGACAUGUGGUUCAUGUAUAUAGUAGCUCCAGUUCUAGCAGUAGUAAAUUCAGUGUAAUAAAUGACUGCGUAUAACAAAGGUAUUCUCAGGUCUUGGCUCAAGGAUAAGGGAUGUAAAAGAAAACCUAGACUCCAUUAUCAUUAGACAGAAAGUUGAGCCAGAAUUCAGCUAUUUAUUAGAAUUGUAUGUUUUUUAUCCUAAUAGAUAGAACUUACCUCCUCUGUUUCUUUUUACCUCUUCUACCUCUGGUAUUCCAACUAUCUGAAUUCCUAAAUUGGUUAAAUAAAAAGAUGGGAAACCCUUCUGGAGCUGGAAAGUGGGAAGAUGUAUAAAUGAGGACUGUUAAAUUUCUUCUUUCCUA